UAUUAAAAUUUUCAUCUAUUUUUUAAUUAAAAAUUGACAUAAUUAACAGAAUAAUCAAAUUGUGACACGUGGCGUGCAGCAUAUACCUCAUGCUAACAUAAAAAGACUAGUUUUUAAUAGUAGAAAUGAGUGAAUUUUUUAAUA
rfam:Gossypium hirsutum cultivar TM-1 chromosome 15, whole genome shotgun sequence